rnacentral:rRNA from 1 species
AUUGAACGCUGGCGGCAUGCCUUACACAUGCAAGUCGAACGGCAGCGCGGACUUCGGUCUGGCGGCGAGUGGCGAACGGGUGAGUAAUACAUCGGAACGUACCCUGUUGUGGGGGAUAACUAGUCGAAAGAUUAGCUAAUACCGCAUACGACCUGAGGGUGAAAGUGGGGGACCGCAAGGCCUCACGCAGCAGGAGCGGCCGAUGUCUGAUUAGCUAGUUGGUGGGGUAAAGGCCCACCAAGGCGACGGUCAGUAGCUGGUCUGAGAGGACGAUCAGCCACACUGGGACUGAGACACGGCCCAGACUCCUACGGGAGGCAGCAGUGGGGAAUUUUGGACAAUGGGGGCAACCCUGAUCCAGCAAUGCCGCGUGUGUGAAGAAGGCCUUCGGGUUGUAAAGCACUUUUGUCCGGAAAGAAAUCGCGCUGGUUAAUACCUGGCGUGGAUGACGGUACCGGAAGAAUAAGCACCGGCUAACUACGUGCCAGCAGCCGCAGUAA